rnacentral:rRNA from 1 species
GAGUCUGCCUUGAGAUCGGAGUGCUUGCACUCUGUGAAACAAGAUACAGGCUAGCGGCGGACGGGUGAGUAACACGUGGGUAACCUGCCCAAGAGAUCGGGAUAACACCUGGAAACAGAUGCUAAUACCGGAUAAUAACAGAUGAUGCCUAUCAACUGUUUAAAAGAUGGUUCUGCUAUCACUCUUGGAUGGACCUGCGGUGCAUUAGCUAGUUGGUAGGGUAACGGCCUACCAAGGCGAUGAUGCAUAGCCGAGUUGAGAGACUGAUCGGCCACAUUGGGACUGAGACACGGCCCAAACUCCUACGGGAGGCAGCAGUAGGGAAUCUUCCACAAUGGACGCAAGUCUGAUGGAGCAACGCCGCGUGAGUGAAGAAGGGUUUCGGCUCGUAAAGCUCUGUUGUUGGUGAAGAAGGACAGGGGUAGUAACUGACCUUUGUUUGACGGUAAUCAAUUAGAAAGUCACGGCUAACUACGUGCCAGCAGCCGCGGUAAUACGUAGGUGGCAAGCGUUGUCCGGAUUUAUUGGGCGUAAAGCGAGUGCAGGCGGUUCGAUAAGUCUGAUGUGAAAGCCUUCGGCUCAACCGGAGAAUUGCAUCAGAAACUGUCGAGCUUGAGUACAGAAGAGGAGAGUGGAACUCCAUAUGUAGCGGUGAAAUGCGUAGAUAUAUGGAAG